CAAAGCUCCAUUAGGGGUUUUGAGUGGUUAACUGGAGAUGAGUUUUCACAGGAACUUUUCUGCCCAGGCUGGCUUUGAACCACAAUCCUCAGAACUUAGCUUCCCAAGUAGCUAGGUUUACAACAAAGCCUAAUUUAUAAUCAAGUAUUGUAUAUCUCAUGUAAUAUACUGAAUACCAUACUGAAAGCAAAAAAUCAGAAAGGUUGUAUGGAUAUUCAUCAUUAAUAUAUGGUUAAUGUAUGUUAAAGCUUCUACUGAAUACUUAGCACUUUCACACUCCUGUAAAGCUGUGAAAUCCUAAGUAGAGCCAUCUUUAUGCUCUGUCUGCACUUUAGUUUUCUGAAUGGAUCGCACAUUUGCCUCUGUCUUUGAAUACUAGGUCCCCAUGGGGAGUGCCCUUUCCCAUUAGUUAAGUAUUCAUCCUUUUAAGACCCAGGCCCCUGGGGCUGGGAAUAUGGCCUAGUGGCAAGAGCGCUUGCCU